UACGGAGGGUGCAAGCGUUAUCCGGAUUCACUGGGUUUCAAGGGUGCGUAGGUGGGCAGGUAAGUCAGUGGUGAAAUCUCCGGGCUUAACUCGGAAACUGCCAUUGAUACUAUCUGUCUUGAAUACCGUGGAGGUCAGCGGAAUAUGUCAUGUAGCGGUGAAAUGCUUAGAUAUGACAUAGAACACCAAUUGCGAAGGCAGCUGGCUACACGAAUAUUGACACUGAUGCACGAAAGCGUGGGGAUCAAACAGG
rnacentral:rRNA from 1 species